rnacentral:rRNA from 1 species
CAGUCGCCGCGGGAAAACAGAGGGUGCGAGCGUUAAUCGGAUUUACUGGGCGUAAGGCGUGCGUAGGCGGUGAGUUAAGUCUGCUGUGAAAUCCCCGGGCUCAACCUGGGAAUGGCAGUGGAUACUGGCUCGCUAGAGUGUGGUAGAGGAUAGUGGAAUUCCCGGUGUAGCGGUGAAAUGCGUAGAGAUCGGGAGGAACAUCAGUGGCGAAGGCGGCCAUCUGGGACAACACUGACGCUGAGGCACGAAAGCGUGGGGAGCAAACAGGAUUAGAUACCCCCGUAGUCCCUGUCUCUUAUAC